CUCCUCUGUAUAAGAACUGUUGCAACCAUAGGUCCCUGCUUGCAACAAUGAUCUAAACAGUCACAGUUUAUGUCAAUAGCAUAAGAAGGGGUGCCUUGAU